UCUCCCUCUCUCAUACACACACACGCAUUCACUCAAGUCCUAGGCAGCAAAGGAUCGAAGAUCACAAGAAAUGCAACUAAAGAAGAGCAUUUCUUGACCCCUUAUAAGUGUUGUAGAUACUGAAUGCAUUUGUAUUCAGUAAGAUGUUGAAUUUUCAAACCUUGACCCCUUAUAAUUUUUUGGCCAAGAUUCGCCACUGCUUGAAACGGUGGUCAUUGAUAGCAGGAAGACUUCCAGAAAGAACAGAUAAUGAGAUAAAAAAAACUACUAGAAUUCUCAUUUGAGCAGAAAGCUAAAUCAGGAAACAAGAAAGACAGAGCUUUCAGUACCUCUAUUACUGCUAUUACAACAUCAAUAACAUCUUUAAGCGCGGAGAUUAAUUCGAGAAAAGACUGUUAAAGAUGGCGACAGUGAGAUUAAUGUUAAAGAUGGUGACAGUAAAAAUAAUAUUGAUAUGAAGAACUUGUUUGAUAGCUCUGCUGAAGAAACCUGUGGCUUGGAUUGGGUUGAUAAAUUUCUUAAAACAGAUGAACAAUUGUAAUCAAAUCUCGUCUGCAUCACGUCAGUUUCUAGUUUCCUGUGCGAACAAAAACAUUGCAAGAAAAAGGGUACAGAGAAGUAGGCUAAACAAUGUUACAGUAUGUUUUUUCUGUAAUUUCAUUCCAUGGAGAAUUUUACAGCAUAUGGUACAUUCUUUACUGUACAGUAAUAAAUAAUAACAUCUGUAAUUUCCUUUUC